AUGAACGCUGGCGGCGUGCCUAAUACAUGCAAGUCGAGCGAACAGACGAGGAGCUUGCUCCUCUGACGUUAGCGGCGGACGGGUGAGUAACACGUGGAUAACCUACCUAUAAGACUGGGAUAACUUCGGGAAACCGGAGCUAAUACCGGAUAAUAUAUUGAACCGCAUGGUUCAAUAGUGAAAGACGGUUUUGCUGUCACUUAUAGAUGGAUCCGCGCCGCAUUAGCUAGUUGGUAAGGUAACGGCUUACCAAGGCAACGAUGCGUAGCCGACCUGAGAGGGUGAUCGGCCACACUGGAACUGAGACACGGUCCAGACUCCUACGGGAGGCAGCCGUAGGGAAUCUUCCGCAAUGGGCGAAAGCUUGACGGAGCAACGCCGCGUGAGUGAUGAAGGUCUUCGGAUCGUAAAACUCUGUUAUUAGGGAAGAACAAAUGUGUAAGUAACUAUGCACGUCUUGACGGUACCUAAUCAGAAAGCCACGGCUAACUACGUG
rnacentral:rRNA from 1 species